rnacentral:rRNA from 1 species
UACGUAGGGGGCAAGCGUUGUCCGGAAUCAUUGGGCGUAAAGAGCGUGUAGGCGGUUAGGUAGGUCCGUUGUGAAAACUCGAGGCUCAACCUCGAGACGCCGAUGGAAACCAUCUGACUAGAGUCCGGAAGAGGAGAGUGGAAUUCCUGGUGUAGCGGUGAAAUGCGCAGAUAUCAGGAAGAACACCCGUGGCUAAGGCGGCUCUCUAGUACGGUACUGACGCUGAGACGCGAAAGCGUGGGGAGCGAACAGG